GGUUAAGCGACUAAGCGUACACGGUGGAUGCCCUGGCAGUCAGAGGCGAUGAAGGACGUGCUAAUCUGCGAUAAGCGUCGGUAAGGUGAUAUGAACCGUUAUAACCGGCGAUUUCCGAAUGGGGAAACCCAGUGUGUUUCGACACACUAUCAUUAACUGAAUCCAUAGGUUAAUGAGGCGAACCGGGGGAACUGAAACAUCUAAGUACCCCGAGGAAAAGAAAUCAACCGAGAUUCCCCCAGUAGCGGCGAGCGAACGGGGAGGAGCCCAGAGCCUGAAUCAGUGUGUGUGUUAGUGGAAGCGUCUGGAAAGGCGCGCGAUACAGGGUGACAGCCCCGUACACAAAAAUGCACAUGCUGUGAGCUCGAUGAGUAGGGCGGGACACGUGGUAUCCUGUCUGAAUAUGGGGGGACCAUCCUCCAAGGCUAAAUACUCCUGACUGACCGAUAGUGAACCAGUACCGUGAGGGAAAGGCGAAAAGAACCCCGGCGAGGGGAGUGAAAAAGAACCUGAAACCGUGUACGUACAAGCAGUGGGAGCCUCUUUAUGGGGUGACUGCGUACCUUUUGUAUAAUGGGUCAGCGACUUAUAUUCUGUAGCAAGGUUAACCGAAUAGGGGAGCCGAAGGGAAACCGAGUCUUAACUGGGCGUUAAGUUGCAGGGUAUAGACCCGAAACCCGGUGAUCUAGCCAUGGGCAGGUUGAAGGUUGGGUAACACUAACUGGAGGACCGAACCGACUAAUGUUGAAAAAUUAGCGGAUGACUUGUGGCUGGGGGUGAAAGGCCAAUCAAACCGGGAGAUAGCUGGUUCUCCCCGAAAGCUAUUUAGGUAGCGCCUCGUGAAUUCAUCUCCGGGGGUAGAGCACUGUUUCGGCAAGGGGGUCAUCCCGACUUACCAACCCGAUGCAAACUGCGAAUACCGGAGAAUGUUAUCACGGGAGACACACGGCGGGUGCUAACGUCCGUCGUGAAGAGGGAAACAACCCAGACCGCCAGCUAAGGUCCCAAAGUCAUGGUUAAGUGGGAAACGAUGUGGGAAGGCCCAGACAGCCAGGAUGUUGGCUUAGAAGCAGCCAUCAUUUAAAGAAAGCGUAAUAGCUCACUGGUCGAGUCGGCCUGCGCGGAAGAUGUAACGGGGCUAAACCAUGCACCGAAGCUGCGGCAGCGACGCUUAUGCGUUGUUGGGUAGGGGAGCGUUCUGUAAGCCUGCGAAGGUGUACUGUGAGGUAUGCUGGAGGUAUCAGAAGUGCGAAUGCUGACAUAAGUAACGAUAAAGCGGGUGAAAAGCCCGCUCGCCGGAAGACCAAGGGUUCCUGUCCAACGUUAAUCGGGGCAGGGUGAGUCGACCCCUAAGGCGAGGCCGAAAGGCGUAGUCGAUGGGAAACAGGUUAAUAUUCCUGUACUUGGUGUUACUGCGAAGGGGGGACGGAGAAGGCUAUGUUGGCCGGGCGACGGUUGUCCCGGUUUAAGCGUGUAGGCUGGUUUUCCAGGCAAAUCCGGAAAAUCAAGGCUGAGGCGUGAUGACGAGGCACUACGGUGCUGAAGCAACAAAUGCCCUGCUUCCAGGAAAAGCCUCUAAGCAUCAGGUAACAUCAAAUCGUACCCCAAACCGACACAGGUGGUCAGGUAGAGAAUACCAAGGCGCUUGAGAGAACUCGGGUGAAGGAACUAGGCAAAAUGGUGCCGUAACUUCGGGAGAAGGCACGCUGAUAUGUAGGUGAAGUCCCUCGCGGAUGGAGCUGAAAUCAGUCGAAGAUACCAGCUGGCUGCAACUGUUUAUUAAAAACACAGCACUGUGCAAACACGAAAGUGGACGUAUACGGUGUGACGCCUGCCCGGUGCCGGAAGGUUAAUUGAUGGGGUUAGCGGUAACGCGAAGCUCUUGAUCGAAGCCCCGGUAAACGGCGGCCGUAACUAUAACGGUCCUAAGGUAGCGAAAUUCCUUGUCGGGUAAGUUCCGACCUGCACGAAUGGCGUAAUGAUGGCCAGGCUGUCUCCACCCGAGACUCAGUGAAAUUGAACUCGCUGUGAAGAUGCAGUGUACCCGCGGCAAGACGGAAAGACCCCGUGAACCUUUACUAUAGCUUGACACUGAACAUUGAGCCUUGAUGUGUAGGAUAGGUGGGAGGCUUUGAAGUGUGGACGCCAGUCUGCAUGGAGCCGGCCUUGAAAUACCACCCUUUAAUGUUUGAUGUUCUAACGUUGGCCCCUGAUCGGGGUUGCGGACAGUGUCUGGUGGGUAGUUUGACUGGGGCGGUCUCCUCCUAAAGAGUAACGGAGGAGCACGAAGGUUGGCUAAUCCUGGUCGGACAUCAGGAGGUUAGUGCAAUGGCAUAAGCCAGCUUGACUGCGAGCGUGACGGCGCGAGCAGGUGCGAAAGCAGGUCAUAGUGAUCCGGUGGUUCUGAAUGGAAGGGCCAUCGCUCAACGGAUAAAAGGUACUCCGGGGAUAACAGGCUGAUACCGCCCAAGAGUUCAUAUCGACGGCGGUGUUUGGCACCUCGAUGUCGGCUCAUCACAUCCUGGGGCUGAAGUAGGUCCCAAGGGUAUGGCUGUUCGCCAUUUAAAGUGGUACGCGAGCUGGGUUUAGAACGUCGUGAGACAGUUCGGUCCCUAUCUGCCGUGGGCGCUGGAGAACUGAGGGGGGCUGCUCCUAGUACGAGAGGACCGGAGUGGACGCAUCACUGGUGUUCGGGUUGUCAUGCCAAUGGCACUGCCCGGUAGCUAAAUGCGGAAGAGAUAAGUGCUGAAAGCAUCUAAGCACGAAACUUGCCCCGAGAUGAGUUCUCCCUGACCCUUUAAGGGUCCUGAAGGAACGUUGAAGACGACGACGUUGAUAGGCCGGGUGUGUAAGCGCAGCGAUGCGUUGAGCUAACCGGUACUAAUGAACCGUGAGGCUUAACCUU
rnacentral:rRNA from 1 species